GCCUUCGGGCAUUUGGUCAAUUUGAAACGAUACAGAGAAGAUGUAAGUUAUACCCCAGAGGUCGUGGAUUCGAAUCACGGUUACUAACACUUCUUCAGUAGCAUGGCCCCUGCACUAAGGAUGACACGCUCAAUCAAAGAGAAGCUACCAAUUUUU
rnacentral:snRNA from 1 species